rnacentral:rRNA from 1 species
UACGUAGGGAGCAAGCGUUGUCCGGAAUCAUUGGGCGUAAAGCGCGCGUAGGUGGCUUCGUAAGUCCGUUGUGAAAAGUCAAGGGCUCAACCCUUGGAUGCCGGUGGAUACUGCAGGGCUAGAGUCCGGAAGAGGCGAGUGGAAUUCCUGGUGUAGCGGUGAAAUGCGCAGAUAUCAGGAGGAACACCGAUGGCGAAGGCAGCUCGCUGGGACGGUACUGACGCUGAGGCGCGAAAGCGUGGGGAGCAAACAGG